AGUAACGCGUGAGUAACAUGCCUUACACAAGGGGAUAGCCUUUGGAAACGAAGAAUAAUACCCUAUAAAACCAUAAAAGCACAUGCUAGAAUGGUCAAAGUGAUAGCGGUGUAAGAUGGACUUGCGUCUGAUUAGCUAGUUGGUGAGAUAAAAGCUCACCAAGGCAACGAUCAGUAGCCGGCUUGAGAGAGUGUACGGCCACAUUGGGACUGAGACACGGCCCAG
rnacentral:rRNA from 1 species